GGUGGCUCAGUGGUAGAGUGUUUGCCUUGCAUGCAUGAGGUCCUGGGUUCAAUUCCUCAGUACCG
rnacentral:tRNA from 1 species